rnacentral:misc_RNA from 1 species
AAAGACUGCAACAGAGUGAGCUAGCAAUUUUUCAAUGAAACUUUGAUAGAUGUUGGGCUUCCUCUGGAUUUUGUUAAAAUUGUGAUGAAUGUCUCUUCAGUAUCCAUGCAACUGUUGUGGAAUGGAAAUUCAUCAGAGAAAUUUAAGCCUAGCCAUGGUUUGAGGAUACAGGAGAUUUCUUGUUGAGUUCUAACCUGCCUCUCUCCUUCGCAAGGUAUCUAUUAAUAUCUGUUAAGUUUUGUAUAAUUUUAAUCACUUUAAAUAUCUAGGCUUGGUCCUUCAAGUAGAUGGGGGAUG